AGCUUUGUGCAGUGGUAGUAUCAUAGCCAAUGAGGUUUAUCCAAGGUGUGAUUAUUGCUAAUUGAAAACUUUUACUAGACAGGUCCUCCAAAGUGCCCAUGGGGAACUUUGUUUCACUCUACACAAGGGGGAGGGU
rnacentral:snRNA from 1 species